rnacentral:rRNA from 1 species
UACGAAGGGGGCUAGCGUUGCUCGGAUUGACUGGGCGUAAAGGGCGCGUAGGCGGUUUGCAUAGUCAGACGUGAAAUUCCUGGGCUUAACCUGGGGGCUGCGUUUGAUACAUGCAGGCUUGAGUUCGGAAGAGGGUCGCGGAAUUCCCAGUGUAGAGGUGAAAUUCGUAGAUAUUGGGAAGAACACCGGUGGCGAAGGCGGCGACCUGGUCCGAUACUGACGCUGAGGCACGAAAGCGUGGGGAGCAAACAGG